ACAAAAAAUAUCUCAAAUCCUCUUAACUUUUCUCUCAUUCUCUCAAGAACACAUCAACACAAAUUCAACCAAAACUCAUCAAUAAUCUUCAUCUUCCUCACUCCAAAAUUUCCGCAAGCAAUUUCCGAUCCCUCUCCCACCGUGGAUGCACCACCAGCCUCCGACCUACCUCCUCCAUUCGUCUUCUCUGCCACUGACCUCCAACAAUUUCGGCCUUCUUCGUCGCGCAUGCAGUCGUGGAUACUCCCACCGUUUUCCGUCGCAACGAUUCAGGUCCACCUCCAUCAUUUAGCUCUCGUUUUCUUUGGAGAUGUCAUCUCCUCCUUCGCGCGAUUCUUCGGAAAACAUAAUCUUCUCCAAUUCUUCAUUUCGGUAAUUAAUACUUAA